ensembl:lncRNA
CCUCCGUCACUCCUAGGCCCUUUCCUUUGUUUGUCUCCCGCAUCCAGAGCCACUCUGCCGACAGCAGACCCGUUGCACUGCUCACCCUGCCAGGUUUCCAUCAACGUGCUCGAUGCACCAGCAUCAUCAUUCUCCCGAGUGACCAGCAGAUGUCACUAUUAUCUCUGUGUUAAAUCUCACUGGACUGCCGCUGCUGACAUGUCUGGCUCACACUGAUAGCAUUUGUCAAAUUUGUUUCACAUCAUUACACUUUUUUAUUCAACACACCCUCUCGAAGUGAACUAUUGUCAAAUGAUAAAUCUUUCUAAUGAGUUCAAAGCAGCCGAUGAUUUUGGCAAGUCUGACCCAACCCUAAUGAAGUUAUAAGGAAUUUGU